AAGACUGAAUGUAUUGUACCACCAUGCCCAGCUUCAUUUGGUACAGUCUGCUUCAACAGUCCAUAUGUCAGUAAGCUGCUCAAACCAGCUUAAAUCCUCCAGGAUCACCAAUACAUGGCUGUCUUCCUCAAUUCUGUCUUUGACCUCACGUUGCCUUAUAUCCUUUUCCCUUGGUAGCCUCUUUAAUCCCUGUGUGUAUAUGAGGAGGAAGAGGGACAGACAGAUGACAGACAGACAGACAAAUUAUCUAAUAGGCCACAUGCUUCCAGCCCCCCAUGCUGAGCCUGCUUCUAUCACUGUUCAUUUGGGAGACCUCAGACUUCAGUUUGCCUUAUUUAAAGCAAGGGCUGCUAAUAUUUAGUCUCUCCACAUCAUAGAAUUAUGAGGGCAAAAUCAAGCUCAAUGGCAUCUUGAAAAGUACAUAAUAGAUGGUGAAAAUAAAUGUGAGACUUGCCUGCUGUCAACAGAG
rnacentral:lncRNA from 1 species